rnacentral:rRNA from 1 species
GACGCAGGGCGCGAGCGUUGUCCGGAUUUAUUGGGCGUAAAGAGCUCGUAGGCGGCUCGUUGCGUCAACCGUGAAAACCCGGGGCUUAACUUCGGGCUUGCGGUUGAUACGGGCGGGCUGGAGUUCGGUAGGGGAGACUGGAAUUCCUGGUGUAGCGGUGAAAUGCGCAGAUAUCAGGAGGAACACCGGUGGCGAAGGCGGCAUCCUGGACCGAUACUGACGCUGAGGAGCGAAAGCCAGGGGAGCAAACGGG